GAUGAACGCUGGCGGCGUGCCUAAUACAUGCAAGUCGAGCGAACAGAUGAGGAGCUUGCUCCUCUGACGUUAGCGGCGGACGGGUGAGUAACACGUGGAUAACCUACCUAUAAGACUGGGAUAACUUCGGGAAACCGGAGCUAAUACCGGAUAAUAUAUUGAACCGCAUGGUUCAAUAGUGAAAGACGGUUUUGCUGUCACUUAUAGAUGGAUCCGCGCCGCAUUAGCUAGUUGGUAAGGUAACGGCUUACCAAGGCAACGAUGCGUAGCCGACCUGAGAGGGGGGUCGGCCACACUGGAGCUGAGCCACGGUCCAGGCGCCUACGGGAGGCAGCAGUAGGGAAUCUUCCGCAGUGGGCGAAAGCCUGGCGGAGCAGCGCCGCGUGAGUGAUGAAGGUCUUCGGAUCGUAAAGCUCUGUUAUUAGGGAAGAACAAAUGUGUAAGUAACUAUGCACGUCUUGACGGUACCUGAUCAGAAAGCCACGGCUAACUACGUG
rnacentral:rRNA from 1 species